GAUGUCGCCCACAUCGAUCAGGACUGAGGCUCCCUACCAGACGAUUCUAAUUUGUGGCAUGUUGGCACUAAAACCAGCCGUGAUACCAGAGACCAGUCAGGCCUGGCUGCAGGAAGUCUGCAUGCAGCGCGCAGUGCUGUCAGGCGCCACCACGGCCAGCUACAAUUCGUAAGUUCUAAGCUGUGUUCCGUUCUGAAGAACGCGAGGAAGCCCUGUGCUGCUGGCCCUCAGUUAAGAAGAGAAUCUACACAACCCACGCCGCAGCCCCUGGGGCCACCUUCAUCGUCUUCUCGGCGAUUACACCGACUUCCGGCACCCCGGCACUUCAGUUCACACGACCCCUACUUUCCUAGUAAGGACCCGGGGAAGAGGAAUCCGGACGACCCAGACACAGCGCAGAGGCCGGGCAGUGCUUCCUGUUAGCCUUGUCUCACGUGGUCACGGGAAGAUGAGCGGCUGGAGUACAGUACCAUACCGGACACAGAAGGAGGCCACAGUCACAUGACUUUAUCACAGUGGCGUAACCGGACGUGCACAGUGGUUAUGCAGCCCAGUUCACGGUCGCUGGUGUUCUACUCUGUUGCGAGCUGUGGGUCACCUCUUACUGUGCCUAACAGUUAUAGGUCCGUCUGUGCGGGAGAAAGCUCAGCACACGCAUUGCUUUGUGCUCCCUUGGGGGUUACCCGUCUCCCUGGAGCUCUUACGGCAUAUGCCCCACAGAUAAGGGGUGCCCUUUAGAGUAAAUCCUCUUCCGAGACAGCGGCUUCUGAAACAUCAAAAUCUAUGCCUGCGGGGUUCAGGUCGGAGGCUCAGGUUUAAACUCUGAGGCCCCAGACUUUCACCUUAGGACGGAGUCUCUAAAAUACUGCCGGUUUUGAUGAAGCCCAGGCUCUCUGUUCAAAAUAAACAGCCGGGCUUCGCAAACCAGACUGAAAUUCAGAGCCUGCCAUAAAUAAGAACAGGCAGCCAACCAAAGAGGGAACAGUUUCAAGGCUGAAAUUUUAUUGCCCCUCCAAGAGGGACCUCAUUUGAAUAGGUGAGCUUCAGAAGUACAUGGCAAAGAAAGGUUUUUACUCAAUAAAUAAGGUCAUGUGCAAAGCAAGCGCUUGGAUCAGAAUUUUUUCCCACUGAAGAGCAGUUGAGGCCGGUGAGUGGGGCACAUCUAUAAUCCCAGGGCUCAGGAAGCAGAGGCAGGAGGAUUUGGAACUUGAGACUAGGUUGGGAAACAUCUGAGAGCUUGACUCACAGAAACAAAACAAAACAAGAGCAGUUGGAAGCUGGUAACACAAAGAUCUCCCUCAGCCGGGCAGAGGGUGAGGAUGGUCGACUGGGGUUUCAGAAGCACAGACACCCCCACUUCCCAGUGUGACCUGGGAUGGUCCCCAGCACUGCCUCUGAGCUGCCAUCCCUGGGACUCAUCCCAGCCCAGGACACCAGGGCAGGGGUCUUCUCUGUAACUCCAGGGCCAUCCUUGUGUGACAGAGCUCAGCAGGGAGGGUCCCCAAAGGCUGGAGAGAGACAGCCAGGAGGAAAGUGACUUCGCAGUAGAUUCAGGACAGCCAAAGCUGAGGUGAGAAGCGAGGUCUCUGCCUUGUGUUAUGUGACUGUUCUUCUCACGUGACGUGAACAGGAACUGUGAGUGAGCUCCACAUGGCCUGCCUAUGUUUCUCUUCCAGAAGAACAUUCCUUGCUUCUUGUCAUCAAGCUCAAUAGAAACCAAGCUCCCCAAAGCACGUGUGUCUAGAGCAAAUGACUAUCAUGUGUCCUGUGCUCACAUACAAAGGUGUGGGUGUCCAUUGGUGCUGGGUUGGGGACAGCUACCCCAGAAUCUCAGAUGGCCUGAGUUAUCAUCAUGACAUAAAACAGGAAGAAAAAAGAGCUCGAGAUCUAAAGUCCCUGAUCCAGGCCGAAGCAAGGAGUCAGGACAUGCUGGAGAAAUCACUAGACCAUGCAGGAGACACCUCCAGGCAAUGGUUGCUAGGAACUGAGCCCUGCAGCAACCAGGAUGGAUUGGGGGCCCUGCAGGUUUCCUGGCUUCUUCUGGUGAGGUGGACUGGACUGUUCCUGAAUGACUGGGUCCAGGAAGUAGUGGGGGGGAGAGGAUGGAGAAGUCCCCCAUGUCAUCUCUAACCCCCACACGGCCCUCUGCCUAGCUGCCCCCUCCCUCCCCCACUUGUAACACCAGUUACCUAAUCUGCAACAAGACCCGAUGGUAUCUGAGUCCCUAACGGCUCUGAAAACCCACAAGUCUAUAAUUCAGAUAUAAAUGCAGCUAGUGAGAGAUAGGAAACCCCGAGCCCCAACCUGCAGCUUGGGGGAUGUGACCUGUAAUACAUACUGAGCUUGAGCAGAAGACUUGGAAGCAGCUGGUUUGUGCCGAGCAUAUAGCCAGGACUCAGCCAGGUGGUGUCUUCCACCACACUGUCAUUUUAUGCCCAAGUGACUGAUUUGGGGACAAAGCUUAGUCAGGCUGAGUGACUCUCCCAAGUGAUGGCGCAGAUGACCAGUCCCUGCCCCGGGCUCUCCAUCUCUCCAUGUUAGACACUGAGCUAUUUCUGGAGCCUCCAAAGUCAGGACAGGUCUGACUCCUCCACCCUCAAGUUCCUCCUCCACCUUUAGCACUGGGACAAAUAAGCUUUUCCUCAGGAGCAGGAUGGCUACUUUAACUAGAAAAGAAGAGCCCACACCUGCCUCUCCAUCCUUGGAACAACAGCUUCCCUGGCCAGGGCCUGCCCUGGAUGGAAGCCCAUAGCUGCCCAUCUGUGCAAGACCCUGGCAGACAAGAAAGGCUAUCUAUCCUUUCCAGAGGCUGUGUGAGGAAGCCUGUGUGGCCUCACACCUGAAGCCUUGCUUUUCUUCAGCUAAGUCAAGGUCAUCAUUCCUCAAAGUUACUUCUAUACUUAGGAAGAAAAAAAAAGGUUGCUUUUUUUUUUUUUUUAAACUGGGUUCCUUGGGACCCCACCAAACAUAGACAGCUGCUGUAGCCACAGGGGACAGAUACCAGCAAGUUUGGGGAUGGGGACAUUCUCCAAGAAUGCAACAUCUUGGAGCCAGAAGACAACAUAUAACAGCCCAACAUGGGUGCUAGGAACCGAACCCAGGUCCUCUGAGGAGCAAGUGAUCCUAACCUCUGCUCCAUCUCUCCAGCCCCAUGUGAGAGUAUCAUUUAAUAAGAACUGCCAGGCAGU